UUCAUUAUUUCAUCUUUUAACAUAGUGACCAUUCUGCAAAUAGAAGAGCCACGAAGGAUGUUAUGGGCUAGGAGUAGGAGAGAGGUAUAAAUUUUGAAUUGCGAUUGUGGGAAAAUAAACCUUAUUUCAUACUUUCAUAACCACAUGUAUUUUCUUUUACUACUUAAAUUUCAUUGGCAAAUAACAGAAAUCAAUGUUUAGGACCUCCUAAUUGUAUUGCAAUAAUUGUUUAUGUAUUUUCCACAUUAAUAAACAAGUCAGCAACAAAAAUAACUUAGUUAUUUACUCGCCACAUAUUUCUUGCGAACAUUGUAAUCAUAAUUAUUGCAAGCUCAGUAGAAAAGUAAAUGUAAUUUGUGCAAUGAUAAAUUACAACUACCAAUUACAUACAGUGUGAAUCAACGUAAUCAUAACACAAAUAACAGUAUUUAUAUGUCCCUCGCAACGUCUAAUUAAAGACACUCCACUCGGAUUUAAAUUUUGUGCGGUAGGUACUUAGUACUUUCAAGUACCAUAAUCCCAAGGCCGUUUCCGAUCGCUGAUAAGCCCCAAAACCUAUUCCAUCCGAGGCUUUUACGGUAGCAGAAGCGGUAUAUGCACGCUCGCAGGGUUGCCACCACAUAAUAACAACCUUCUAUACCGGUCGAACGGCGUAAUCGGUUCGUGUCCCAACCCGCCCACUUUGUAAUUAUAUUUUUGAUGCAUGCCCGUGCCCCUUUUCCCCUUUCGCCGUCGAAGACGUCCCCGAUAAGGAGCCCAGAUAACGCACCUUAUGGCCAACGUAUAGAAAUAGAAACAAAACCAAAAAGUAAAAAAAAUCGUCGAUUAUUGCGUCUGUAAUGAUAAACCGCAAGCACCUAUCUGAGGUUUUUUCUUUCCUCGAUUUUAUUGUUCAAAGACUCUCGCAAUCGGCGAAGAUCAAAGCCUUCGUCGUAUACCGCCGAACAAAUGACAAUCUAUUCGGUUCGGUAGCAUCAUCGCAGGCGGCGACCGAGUGUGGUCGCCUCGCCUACCGCGACAAUUAAAUAACUCCGGAAAACAAUCAUAAAAAUCCCGAUAAAUUCUUUUCUGGGACAUUUAACAAGUAUUUCAUUUAAAUCCGGGACCCGGGGAAUAAAUGUAUCGGCAACGGUAAGAAAUUCCAUUCCGGGGAGACUAAUGUGAGAUUUUAACGCGGGACUGAGCGAAUUAAACGCUCCUGUGGACAGGAAUAGGGUGACGUCAUUAAUGGGUUUCCGAUUUUGGAAAUAAAGCAAUAAUUUGGCAAAAUUUCAAGUAUGGUGGCGCCAUCUCACCGCCGAAAACAAUGAAACCAGAGACAACUGAUUACAGGUUACUGUAAAGUGCACUUACUGAAAAUUCCAUUAACAGAACCGUGCAUCAGUAUAACAAUAAAUCUACUCUGUUGUAAACCAAUAAGAUCGAUUACAUUUUAUAAUUUUUUAUUUCAUGAUACCAUCUGAAAAAUAUAGCGGAUGAAAAAGCGAAGACACCAUUAAAGUCCUUUGUUAUUUUAGGAACGUUAAGUGACAAUCUAACGCCAAAAUAGUAGCUCUGAAAAAACAAUUAGCACUGAAGCUACUAAGAAAAGAACGAAUAACCCAAAUGCACGAAAGUGACCAUUCGCACAAAUGAAAGGAUUUUGAGGCAAAGGACGGUCUCUGCUGAAAUGAACAAUGGAAUUUCUGUGAUAAAAACAUUAUUUACAAUAUUCACUUGACGAAAAAAUGUCGAACAUUUAAAUAAGAAAUUGAAGAAAGAUCUUGGAUGAAAAGGCAGCACAUCGUGUCUUAGAAGAAUUUUGCGAAGAAUUGGAUUCAAAACACUUUAGACAACAGAAAAAUUUUAGUUGAAACCACUGUGAUGAAAUCACAUACUUAGAAAAAAUAAAAGAGUAUAGACGUGAAGACCGACCUAUUGUAUUCGUAGAUGAAACGUACAUUCAGAGCGACCACACAAGUUCCAAAUGUUGGACUGAUGGUUCGUCAAAAGGUCCCUUUACUAAUAUUUUUAAAGAUAAAAGGUUAAUCAUGGUAAUGCUGGAAGAAAAAUGGGUUUUAUACCAAACGCAUUGUUAAUUUUUAAAUCUGGAACUAAACGCGGGGAUUAUCAUGAUGAGAUGAACUCAGAGAAUUAUGUCAGAUGGUUAAGAGAAAAAUUAAUAUCUAAUUUAACACCAAAUAGCGUAGUAGUAACGGACAAUGCAUCGUAUCAUAAUGUACAGCUGAACCUAGCGAGUCUAUAGAAAUGACUGGCUUGAACAGAAAAAUAUACGAUUUAACCCAAGAAGUUACAAAGUACAACUCUAUGAUAUCAUCAAAAGACAUAGAGUACUACAUAGGUAAUAGGUAACAUACAAAUUUGAUGUAUUGUUAGAAGAAUACGGCCAUAAAGUAUUAAGACUACCCUCUUAUCACCCUUAUCUUAAUCCCAUAGAGAACAUCUAGGGAAUAGUAAAGAAUCAUGUUGCAAAAAAUAAUGUAACUUUUAAGCUUGAUGCUGCAAACAUUUUGGCAGAAAAUAAAUUUUCUAAUGUUACUAAAUAUAACAAAAUUUGAGAACAUGUGUGUAAGCGCCGUAACGACAAAUGACGAUAAUUAUUUAAGUAACGAAGGGCAUCUGGAAGUAAUAGUUCCAGGGUGGCGACUCAGAACACCUGAGAACUAAUUAUAAAUCUUGGUGAAGAUAGUUCAGAUGACAACAGUGAUUUUGGAUGUUAAAUUCAUAAAUUAUUAUUAAAAUUAGACUUUUCUUGAAUAUCUGUAUAUUUUUUUUUAAAACAAAAAAUUUCGUUAAUUGUUAUGAUAAUUUUUGUUGAUUUACUGACGCUCCCAGGUCCCUUAAAAUUAUUCCCACUUGUAAAGUUCAUGAAAAAUUUGACACCGUUGGUUUUGUGACAUUAAACAGUUUUUUAUUCUCGCCAUCAAAUAUAAAAUUGUCUCUAUCUAUAUGUAACUCUUGAAAGUAAGGUUUUGAAGAAACUAUUUAAAACGUAAAAUCUAUGUAUUUCGAACUUGUUUAUUACAAAUUCACAUUAAUUAACUUUUUGCUACAUAGGGUGUAUCAGAUUUCAUUUAAUUAGCACACGUAUUUCUGAUACAUUCUGUAUAAACGAUUAAACGUCCUUUUUUAUUAAAAUGUUUUUACGAGAAGUUCAUUUUUGUCCCUAUCUACAUUUCUUUCAACUGACGUUUAUGUCGUUUAAGACUGAAGGUAGAUUUAUCUGACCUUAGAUAUUCGAUAAUACCGCUCUGAAAGGGUAGAAACGGUCACAAAACCCAUAAAAGCAAAAAUUUUUAGUUUUCUAGUUGACAGCCCUACUUUAAAAACCAAAUUUUCUGGAAACAAAAUAAACACAAUUUGUGACGAUACGCAUUGUGCUAUUACUAAUUUUUGCACCGAGUUGUUCUAUUUGUUCAGCAAAUUGAAGUGAAAAGGCCCGAAUUAUAGAAAGUUUGUUAUUUAAAGUUACCUUAAUAAGUUCUAGUGGGCAGGUUCUUGACACAACCCUUGACAUUUAAUGAUUUAUUGAUAGGUCACAACUCCCUUGAAAAAUUCGGUCCGUUUUAGGGAAAUGUAGAUUUGUCGAAGAUAACGUAAAGAACAAUUUAUUUGACAUUAAAAAGUCAAAGCGGCUUCAAAACAAUGGAGAGCAUGACAAGCUUAGAAAACGGCACCCGUCGAACCAGACACUUUUCUAGUGAUGUACUGUUCUGUCAUUGCCCUUUCUGUUGAUGACCACUUUUAGACGUUUAUUAACUCUAGUUACGUACGCGUCAAAAUCUCUUUAGAAGUACUCUUCCGAUAAGAAAUCGUUGAUAAACAAUAAAAAACUCUUAAGUUAUUCAUUCUUACCUUAU